rnacentral:rRNA from 1 species
ACCUCAAAUCGGGGAGCCC